rnacentral:rRNA from 1 species
GACAUAUUCCGGUUGAUCCUGCCGGAGGCCAUUGCUAUCGGAGUCCGAUUUAGCCAUGCUAGUUGCACGAGUUUAGACUCGUAGCAUAUAGCUCAGUAACACGUGGCCAAACUACCCUACAGACCGCGAUAACCUCGGGAAACUGAGGCCAAUAGCGGAUAUAACUCUCAGACUGGAGUGUCGAGAGUUAGAAACGUUCCGGCGCUGUAGGAUGUGGCUGCGGCCGAUUAGGUAGAUGGUGGGGUAACGGCCCACCAUGCCGAUAAUCGGUACAGGUUGUGAGAGCAAGAGCCUGGAGACGGUAUCUGAGACAAGAUACCGGGCCCUACGGGGCGCAGCAGGCGCGAAACCUUUACACUGCACGACAGUGCGAUAGGGGGACUCCGAGUGUGAGGGCAUAUAGCCCUCGCUUUUCUGUACCGUAAGGUGGUACAGGAACAAGGACUGGGCAAGACCGGUGCCAGCCGCCGCGGUAAUACCGGCAGUCCAAGUGAUGGCCGAUAUUAUUGGGCCUAAAGCGUCCGUAGCUACUUUCC